UACGGAGGGUGCAAGCGUUAUCCGGAUUCACUGGGUUUAAAGGGUGCGUAGGUGGGCAGGUAAGUCAGUGGUGAAAUCUCCGGGCUCAACCCGGAAACUGCCAUUGAUACUAUCUGUCUUGAAUAUCGUGGAGGUAAGCGGAAUAUGUCAUGUAGCGGUGAAAUGCUUAGAUAUGACAUAGAACACCAAUUGCGAAGGCAGCUUACUACCCGAAUAUUGACACUGAGGCACGAAAGCGUGGGGAUCAAACAG
rnacentral:rRNA from 1 species